GGCUCAGUAGGUUGGUCGUGCCACCGGUACGUACUGGUCUCACUGAUUCCUCCUUCCUGAAGAACCGUAAUGCCAUUAAUUUGGUGUUGCGGGGAAACAGGACUGUUACUUUGAAAAAAUUAGAGUGUAUAAAGCAAGCUAACGCUUGAAUACAUUAGCAUGGAAUAAUGAAAUAGGACGAUCGAUCCUAUUUUGUUGGUUUCUAGGAUUGACGUA
rnacentral:rRNA from 1 species